rnacentral:lncRNA from 1 species
UCUCCCACAAAACUUAAUUCCACAACUUCACCUCUAGGCAUAAGCGGCAAAAUAACUUAUUUGAUCACCUGAGUAAUUCUAUCUACAAUAUUCCCAUUUCAAAGUAGUUCAUAGCCUUUGAUAUUUGCAUUUUUUUAGAAUACCGUGUACGUAGUCUAUUACUAUUAUGAAGGGCCAGUGGCACUUGAUUCUUUACUCAAAGAAAC